rnacentral:lncRNA from 1 species
CCAGCACCCACAGGAGGCAGUGGAAGAGCUCCCACUGAUGACAGUGGAUGUUGGAUGAAUUCCCACCUCAUCCUCGUGUUUGAAUGAUGAAAAUUGAGUUGCUGGGUUCUGCACAAACUCCAUGUAAAGAGCUGUCAUGCAAUCACCACCUGAUGACAAGGUCUGAGCUGCUAAAAAAUCCCCAAGAAAUAAUAAAUUAAGGACUUGUAAAAGGAUAAUGAGAGCCUGGAGAAUUUUAAUUAAGAAAGCCCCUUGAGAGACAAUGAAAUAAUUCCAGGGGUAAAUUUUCCUCCAUUUUUGGUGCAAAGACAAACUUUUGAAGAUUUGGGGAAACACUUCAGUGAAGGAUCUUUUCAUUACUCAUCCCCUUCUCUGGGAAGAGUCUGCAUAUAUUUCCAGGUACCAUUUCUGGGAGAGGUCUCCCAGGUUUGAAAAGCUGAAAGGAAAAAACUGAAAGGAAAACUGAAGGGAAUUCUUCCCUCUGUCCCUGUUGGAACACUGGCUGCUGAGAGUUUGGGACUUUCUGUGCUGCCAGGCACUGACCCCCAGGAGAACACUGCACUGACCUGAGGCCGUGGAGAAGCUCCCAAAAUUCAACAAUAAAACUGAGAUUACAGGUGUGGAGUUGGAAUGGAAGUGUGUGAUAUCACAGGGUGGGAAACUCAGAGUUGAAGGGUUUAGAAUGCAGGAAUAGAUAUAAAGCAAGAUGGAGGUUUUAGGGUGGAGGCUGCUCCUUCUCCUUCACCUCCUUCUCCAUGGGGUUGGGUGGUUUUGUGCAAUUGGAUAAAAAAGUCCCCAUUGUGGGCACGGGUGGUUGGGUAUUGGGUUAAAAGUGAAAAUAAUUGAGGUGUCAUUUCUUAAUUGGACAGUUUAUCCUUAAAAGGCCUUGGGGAGAGAGAGAUGGGCUCCAUUUUGAGUUUGUUGGAGUGAAAUGCUGCAGAACUCAGGGUUUGUGAGGCUGUGACAGAGACAAGAACUGAAAAACACCUGAGUCCCAACAAGAAAUUCCCUCUCACACAUUUAAUCCUGAUCUUGGCAAAAAAAGAAGAUAAAGCUCUGCAUGUCCCAGCAGUUUUGGUGGCAGCAGAGUGUGGGAUG